rnacentral:lncRNA from 1 species
ACACAUCAAAUCACAAAAAAACAUCCCCCUUAAGAAUCCCCCUCCGGUGGUGAAACAGAGAGAGACUGGCCCUUUAGGGACCAGUCUUUCCUUUAAUAAAUAUAACUCUCUCUAUUAUAAUAGAGAGAGAUAUAUUUAUUAUGUUAAUAAAUAGAUAUCUCUAUAUUAUAAUAUAGAGAUAUCUAUUUAUUAUGUAUUUAUAUAUUAUAAAAAUAUAUAAAUAUUAAAUAUUAAAUUUAAAUAUUAAAAAAAAUAUAUAAAUAUUAAAUAUUAAAAAAAAUAUUUAUAUAUAUUUUAUAUCUAACAUAAUGAGUAUCUAUAAUAUAAUAUAUUAUAGAUACUCAUUAUGCAGUUCUUCUCGUGCGUUAUAACGCACGUAAUUUUAAUCCUCGUGUGGGACAUUAGGGGGGGUCUUAAAACCCCGAUUCUCUGUACUAAACAUCAUCAUACAACAAGUUUUUAUCCUGGGGUGGGUACCCUUUUAAGGCACUUCUUACAUCAAGCAACAAACACAAACACCAAACCUCCUGACCUCCGAACUCGACAACUCAAACUCAACAACUCAAACUCAACAACUCAACUCCUGACCUCCGAACUCAACAACUCAACUCCUCAACUUUCAACUCAACCUACCCAUUCCUUGUUCCUAUUUCCAAAUUUCCUAGUUCCGAUUUCCCUCUCCUCUAAUUCCUAGUUUCAGUUUCGACCCUUCUCUUCUCCCCUCCGUGGUCCCCUUUCCGGAUCGGGGACCACUUCGGCCUCGCUUCGCUCCUUUUCUCUCAAGGUUUCUCAAAAAAGAAAAAGAAAUUACGUAAGUGAGCACAGAAACUUCUACCUUCAUCCGAAGUGGGAGCUCUAAAGGCUGUGCUUGGGGUAUCUUUCGAGAAUUGAUACCCCGGGGAAGUGGUAUUGGUGACACCACUUCCCUAUGCCCAUGUUGACCGACGUUGGCUCCAUACGGAGGGAACGGGGGAUUCUUUUGGUUGGGGAAUGUUUUUUGCUUAACACAUCAAAUCACAAAAAAACAUCCCCCUUAAGAAUCCCCCUCCGGUGGUGAAACAGAGAGAGACUGGCCCUUUAGGGACCAGUCUUUCCUUUAAUAAAUAUAACUCUCUCUAUUAUAAUAGAGAGAGAUAUAUUUAUUAUGUUAAUAAAUAGAUAUCUCUAUAUUAUAAUAUAGAGAUAUCUAUUUAUUAUGUAUUUAUAUAUUAUAAAAAUAUAUAAAUAUUAAAUAUUAAAUUUAAAUAUUAAAAAAAAUAUAUAAAUAUUAAAUAUUAAAAAAAAUAUUUAUAUAUAUUUUAUAUCUAACAUAAUGAGUAUCUAUAAUAUAAUAUAUUAUAGAUACUCAUUAUGCAGUUCUUCUCGUGCGUUAUAACGCACGUAAUUUUAAUCCUCGUGUGGGACAUUAGGGGGGGUCUUAAAACCCCGAUUCUCUGUACUAAACAUCAUCAUACAACAAGUUUUUAUCCUGGGGUGGGUACCCUUUUAAGGCACUUCUUACAUCAAGCAACAAACACAAACACCAAACCUCCUGACCUCCGAACUCGACAACUCAAACUCAACAACUCAAACUCAACAACUCAACUCCUGACCUCCGAACUCAACAACUCAACUCCUCAACUUUCAACUCAACCUACCCAUUCCUUGUUCCUAUUUCCAAAUUUCCUAGUUCCGAUUUCCCUCUCCUCUAAUUCCUAGUUUCAGUUUCGACCCUUCUCUUCUCCCCUCCGUGGUCCCCUUUCCGGAUCGGGGACCACUUCGGCCUCGCUUCGCUCCUUUUCUCUCAAGGUUUCUCAAAAAAGAAAAAGAAAUUACGUAAGUGAGCACAGAAACUUCUACCUUCAUCCGAAGUGGGAGCUCUAAAGGCUGUGCUUGGGGUAUCUUUCGAGAAUUGAUACCCCGGGGAAGUGGUAUUGGUGACACCACUUCCCUAUGCCCAUGUUGACCGACGUUGGCUCCAUACGGAGGGAACGGGGGAUUCUUUUGGUUGGGGAAUGUUUUUUGCUUAACACAUCAAAUCACAAAAAAACAUCCCCCUUAAGAAUCCCCCUCCGGUGGUGAAACAGAGAGAGACUGGCCCUUUAGGGACCAGUCUUUCCUUUAAUAAAUAUAACUCUCUCUAUUAUAAUAGAGAGAGAUAUAUUUAUUAUGUUAAUAAAUAGAUAUCUCUAUAUUAUAAUAUAGAGAUAUCUAUUUAUUAUGUAUUUAUAUAUUAUAAAAAUAUAUAAAUAUUAAAUAUUAAAUUUAAAUAUUAAAAAAAAUAUAUAAAUAUUAAAUAUUAAAAAAAAUAUUUAUAUAUAUUUUAUAUCUAACAUAAUGAGUAUCUAUAAUAUAAUAUAUUAUAGAUACUCAUUAUGCAGUUCUUCUCGUGCGUUAUAACGCACGUAAUUUUAAUCCUCGUGUGGGACAUUAGGGGGGGUCUUAAAACCCCGAUUCUCUGUACUAAACAUCAUCAUACAACAAGUUUUUAUCCUGGGGUGGGUACCCUUUUAAGGCACUUCUUACAUCAAGCCAACAAACACAAACACCAAACCUCCUGACCUCCGAACUCGACAACUCAAACUCAACAACUCAAACUCAACAACUCAACUCCUGACCUCCGAACUCAACAACUCAACUCCUCAACUUUCAACUCAACCUACCCAUUCCUUGUUCCUAUUUCCAAAUUUCCUAGUUCCGAUUUCCCUCUCCUCUAAUUCCUAGUUUCAGUUUCGACCCUUCUCUUCUCCCCUCCGUGGUCCCCUUUCCGGAUCGGGGACCACUUCGGCCCUCGCUUCGCUCCUUUUCUCUCAAGGUUUCUCAAAAAGAAAAAGAAAUUACGUAAAGUGAGCACAGAAACUUCUACCUUCAUCCGAAGUGGGAGCUCUAAAGGCUGUGCUUUGGGGUAUCUUUCGAGAAUUGAUACCCCGGGGAAGUGGUAUUGGUGACACCACUUCCCUAUGCCCAUGUUGACCGACGUUGGCUCCAUACGGAGGGAACGGGGGAUUCUUUUGGUUGGGGGAAUGUUUUUUUGCUUAACACAUCAAAUCACAAAAAAACAUCCCCCUUAAGAAUCCCCCUCCGGUGGUUGAAACAGAGAGAGACUGGCCCUUUAGGGACCAGUCUUUCCUUUAAUAAAUAUAACUCUCUCUAUUAUAAUAGAGAGAGAUAUAUUUAUUAUGUUAAUAAAUAGAUAUCUCUAUAUUAUAAUAUAGAGAUAUCUUUAUUAUGUAUUUAUAUAUUAUAAAAAUAUAUAAAUAUUAAAUAUUAAAUUUAAAAUAUUAAAAAAUAUAUAAAUAUUAAAUAUUAAAAAAAAUAUUUAUAUAUAUUUUAUAUCUAACAUAAUGAGUAUCUAUAAUAUAAUAUAUUAUAGAUACUCAUUAUGCAGUUCUUCUCGUGCGUUAUAACGCACGUAAUUUUAAUCCUCGUGUGGGACAUUAGGGGGGUCUUAAAACCCCGAUUCUCUGUACUAAACAUCAUCAUACAACAAGUUUUAUCCUGGGGUGGGUACCCUUUUAAGGCACUUCUUACAUCAAGCAACAAACACAAACACCAAACCUCCUGACCUCCGAACUCGACAACUCAAACUCAACAACUCAAACUCAACAACUCAACUCCUGACCUCCGAACUCAACAACUCAACUCCUCAACUUUCAACUCAACCUACCCAUUCCUUGUUCCUAUUUCCAAAUUUCCUAGUUCCGAUUUCCCUCUCCUCUAAUUCCUAGUUUCAGUUUCGACCCUUCUCUUCUCCCCUCCGUGGUCCCCUUUCCGGAUCGGGACCACUUCGGCCUCGCUUUCGCUCCCUUUUCUCUCAAGGUUUCUCAAAAAAAGAAAAAGAAAUUACGUAAGUGAGCACAGAAACUUCUACCUCAUCCGGAAGUGGGAGCUCUAAAGGCUGUGCUUGGGGUAUCUUUCGAGAAUUGAUACCCGGGGAAGUGGUAUUGGUGACACCACUUCCCUAUGCCCAUGUGACCGGACGUUGGCUCCAUACGGAGGAACGGGGAUUCUUUUGGUUGGGGAAUGUUUUUUGCUUAACACAUCAAAUCACAAAAAAACAUCCCCCUUAAGAAUCCCCCUCCGGUGGUGAAACAGAGAGAGACUGGCCCUUUAGGGACCAGUCUUUCCUUUAAUAAAUAUAACUCUCUCUAUUAUAAUAGAGAGAGAUAUAUUUAUUAUGUUAAUAAAUAGAUAUCUCUAUAUUAUAAUAUAGAGAUAUCUAUUUAUUAUGUAUUUAUAUAUUAUAAAAAUAUAUAAAUAUUAAAUAUUAAAUUUAAAUAUUAAAAAAAAUAUAUAAAUAUUAAAUAUUAAAAAAAAUAUUUAUAUAUAUUUUAUAUCUAACAUAAUGAGUAUCUAUAAUAUAAUAUAUUAUAGAUACUCAUUAUGCAGUUCUUCUCGUGCGUUAUAACGCACGUAAUUUUAAUCCUCGUGUGGACAUUAGGGGGGUCUUAAAACCCCGAUUCUCUGUACUAAUACAUCAUCAUACAACAAGUUUUUAUCCUGGGGUGGGUACCUUUUAAGGCACUUCUUACAUCAAGCAAACAAACACAAACACCAAACCUCCCUGACCUCCGAACUCGACAACUCAAACUCAACAACUCAAACUCAACAACUCAACUCCCUGACCUCCGAACUCAACAACUCAACUCCUCAACUUUCAACUCAACCUACCCAUUCCUUGUUCCUAUUUUCCAAAUUUCCUAGUUCCGAUUUCCCUCUCCUCUAAUUCCUAGUUUCAGUUUCGACCCUUCUCUUCUCCCCUCCGUGGUCCCCUUUCCGGAUCGGGGGACCACUUCGGCCUCGCUUCGCUCCUUUUCUCUCAAGGUUUCUCAAAAAAGAAAAAGAAAUUACGUAAGUGAGCACAGAAACUUCUACCUUCAUCCGAAGUGGGAGCUCUAAAGGCUGUGCUUGGGGUAUCUUUCGAGAAUUGAUACCCCGGGGAAGUGGUAUUGGUGACACCACUUCCCUAUGCCCAUGUUGACCGACGUUGGCUCCAUACGGAGGGAACGGGGGAUUCUUUUGGUUGGGGAAUGUUUUUUGCUUAACACAUCAAAUCACAAAAAAACAUCCCCCUUAAGAAUCCCCCUCCGGGUGGUGAAACAGAGAGAGACUGGCCCUUUAGGGACCAGUCUUUCCUUUAAUAAAUAUAAACUCUCUCUAUUAUAAUAGAGAGAGAUAUAUUUAUUAUGUUAAUAAAUAGAUAUCUCUAUAUUAUAAUAUAGAGAUAUCUAUUUAUUAUGUAUUUAUAUAUUAUAAAAA